CCAUGGCGGCCGCGGGAAUUCGAUUAGAGUUUGAUCAUGGCUCAGAUUGAACGCUGGGGGCAGGCCUAACACAUGCAAGUCGAGCGGAUGAGAAGAGCUUGCUCUUCGAUUCAGCGGCGGACGGGUGAGUAAUGCCUAGGAAUCUGCCUGGUAGUGGGGGACAACGUUUCGAAAGGAACGCUAAUACCGCAUACGUCCUACGGGAGAAAGCAGGGGACCUUCGGGCCUUGCGCUAUCAGAUGAGCCUAGGUCGGAUUAGCUAGUUGGUGAGGUAAUGGCUCACCAAGGCGACGAUCCGUAACUGGUCUGAGAGGAUGAUCAGUCACACUGGAACUGAGACACGGUCCAGACUCCUACGGGAGGCACCAGUGGGGAAUAUUGGACAAUGGGCGAAAGCCUGAUCCAGCCAUGCCGCGUGUGUGAAGAAGGUCUUCGGAUUGUAAAGCACUUUAAGUUGGGAGGAAGGGCAGUAAGCGAAUACCUUGCUGUUUUGACGUUACCGACAGAAUAAGCACCGGCUAACUCUGUGCCAGCACCCGCGGUAAUACGAAUCACUAGUGAAUUCGCGGCCGCCUGCAGGUCGACCAUAUGGGAGAGCUCCCAACGCGU
rnacentral:rRNA from 1 species